CUAGAGUCGUACGAAAACAGCCAGGCAGUCAAAGUAGAAUCCUACCCAUUUCAAAAAUAUUGCUGCGUAUUACGUCACUAGUUUCUCCUCUUUCGCCUUUUGGAAACGAGUCACGGUCGAGGGAGAAUAAACAAAUAAAAGAAAAAAGAAUGUCCAUUCGAAAUGAUUGUUUUGUAAUUCAAAUAGCCCUUGAUUGCACGCUCAGAUGCUUUCUGUAUAGGAAAGAUGAAGGAAUGUCAAGAUAGAAAUAGAACAACUACAGUUCAUUGGUCCAAAUAGGAGAAGUGUGUGAGUGCGAAUUCCCUUCCUACAUAAUCGAAUUGCUGCUACAUAGUUGUCAAGAGUGCUUAUAAGGUGGUUUUAAAACAAACAAGCUCUUAGCGACUGAAUAUGAAAGUUUUAUUAUUAAUAGCAACAUUCGUAAUGUUGAUAUGGUUGGAUACAGCAAAUUCGCAUCCUUCUAAAAUGCCUGAUAAAUCUAAAGAAUGGGUGCAAUAUCCGGAAAAAUACGUAUAUUAUCCAUCGCCAUUGAAGAAACCCGUUCCCGAAAAGAAAGAGAGCACAGUUUCGUACCCUCGACAAUCGAAAUCGUCAGAAAAGAUUAUGAAAUCUUUUCCCAUUCCUAGACCUUACGUUUUGAGACAAGAAUCGAUAAGACUGGCAAAAAUUCUAGAGGAAUGAAAAAAAAAUCUAUUUUUGUUCCAAAUAGUUCCUAUUGGAAGUACAAUAUACUGUAUUUGAAUUGCAUAUAGUUUGUAAGAAUAUUAGAAAACAAUUUUUAAAAAAAAUUGUUUUAGUUUAUUGCUAUUUUUUGAAUCAAAG
rnacentral:lncRNA from 1 species